rnacentral:rRNA from 1 species
UACGAAGGGGGCUAGCGUUGCUCGGAAUCACUGGGCGUAAAGCGCACGUAGGCGGAUUGUUAAGUCAGGGGUGAAAUCCUGGAGCUCAACUCCAGAACUGCCUUUGAUACUGGCGAUCUUGAGUCCGGGAGAGGUGAGUGGAACUGCGAGUGUAGAGGUGAAAUUCGUAGAUAUUCGCAAAGAACACCAGUGGCGAAGGCGGCUCACUGGCCCGGUACUGACGCUGAGGUGCGAAAGCGUGGGGAGCAAACAGGG